GAUGAACGCUGGCGGCGUGCCUAAUACAUGCAAGUCGAGCGAACAGACGAGGAGCUUGCUCCUCUGACGUUAGCGGCGGACGGGUGAGUAACACGUGGAUAACCUACCUAUAAGACUGGGAUAACUUCGGGAAACCGGAGCUAAUACCGGAUAAUAUAUUGAACCGCAUGGUUCAAUAGUGAAAGACGGUUUUGCUGUCACUUAUAGAUGGAUCCGCGCCGCAUUAGCUAGUUGGUAAGGUAACGGCUUACCAAGGCAACGAUGCGUAGCCGACCUGAGAGGGUCGGCGCCCACCUGGGAACCACGACCCGCCCCAGACCCCAGCGGGAGGACACGGGGGGGAAUUUCCCGAAGAGGGGGAGAGCCGGACGGACCAACGCGGGGGGAUGAAUGAGGGUUUCCGAAUCGAAAAACUUUUUUUUUAGGAAAAAAAAAAUGUGAAAGUAACUAUGCGGUUCGGGACGUUCCCUAAUCAAAAGCCCCCGCCUAACUCCGUC
rnacentral:rRNA from 1 species